rnacentral:rRNA from 1 species
AGUGAACGCUGGCGGUAGGCCUAACGCAUGCAAGUCGAACGGCAGCACAGGAGAGCUUGCUCUCUGGGUGGCGAGUGGCGGACGGGUGAGGAAUACAUCGGAAUCUACUCUGUCGUGGGGGAUAACGUAGGGAAACUUACGCUAAUACCGCAUACGACCUACGGGUGAAAGCAGGGGACCUUCGGGCCUUGCGCGAUUGAAUGAGCCGAUGUCGGAUUAGCUAGUUGGCGGGGUAAAGGCACACCAAGGCGACGAUCCGUAGCUGGGCCGAGAGGAUGAGCAGCCACACUGGAACUGAGACACGGUCCAGAGUCCUACGGGAGGCAGCAGUGGGGAAUAUUGGACAAUGGGCGCAAGCCUGAUCCAGCCAUACCGCGUGGGUGAAGAAGGCCUUCGGGUUGUAAAGCCCUUUUGUUGGGAAAGAAAUCCAGCUGGCUAAUACCCGGUUGGGAUGACGGUACCCAAAGAAUAAGCACCGGCUAACUUCGUGCCAGCCGCCGCAGUAA